UUGUACAAUUUCAUGUGUGAUAAUUUAUUUGGUGCUUUGAUUGACUUUAGAUUCAUUAGCUUUUGAAUGUUAACAUAAUAUAUGAUGUGAGAAUUGCUUUUAGGGGUAUUGUAUUGCUUGUUUGUAUUUGCUAAUUAUUCGUAGUUCAUUAGAACGCAUUUUGGUUACAAAUUAUCGUUUAGUAUUGUACAUUAUUCCACCGUGUUUCAUUUGCUAAAAUUUUGCGUUUAACAUGGUUU
rnacentral:lncRNA from 1 species